UACGUAGGGUGCAAGCGUUGUCCGGAAUUAUUGGGCGUAAAGAGCUCGUAGGCGGUUUGUCGCGUCUGCCGUGAAAGUCCGGGGCUCAACUCCGGAUCUGCGGUGGGUACGGGCAGACUAGAGUAAUGUAGGGGAGACUGGAAUUCCUGGUGUAGCGGUGAAAUGCGCAGAUAUCAGGAGGAACACCGAUGGCGAAGGCAGGUCUCUGGGCAUUAACUGACGCUGAGGAGCGAAAGCAUGGGGAGCGAACAGG
rnacentral:rRNA from 1 species